rnacentral:misc_RNA from 1 species
GAUGAAGAACGCAGCGAAAUGCGAUAAGUAAUGUGAAUUGCAGAAUUCAGUGAAUCAUCGAAUCUUUGAACGCACAUUGCGCCCCCUGGUAUUCCGGGGGCAUGCCUGUUCGAGCGUCAUUUCACCACUCAAGCCUCGCUUGGUAUUGGGCAACGCGGUCCGCCGCGUGCCUCAAAUCGUCCGGCUGGGUCUUCUGUCCCCUAAGCGUUGUGGAAACUAUUCGCUAAAGGGUGUUCGGGAGGCUACGCCGUAAAACAACCCCAUUUCUAAGGUUGACCUCGGAUCAGGUAGGGAUACCCGCUGAACUUAAGCAUAUCAAUAAGCGGAGGA